UUAUCCGAAAAAAUAGUUGGCGCCUAUACACAUUUCAAAUCGUACUUUAAAUUGUAAAUCGUUGAAGAUUACAAAAAAAAAAAUUUUAACAGACACAAUACAUAUUGGAGAAACCACAUAUUGGUGGUAGUAUUAUUUUGCUGCCAUUAAAUAAAAAUAUAAUGCACGCAAGUCCAAAUGGACUGCAUAUAUUGAAAAUCUGGCUACACAGUACUGCGGAUUUCGGGGUACUAAUAAUAAUUCUGUAAUAAUUCCGUCAAUAUCGACCGGGAUAGUGAAUAGUGUGAAUAGCCUAAUAGAUACAACUGCGGCUCUAUUGUUAUUUCUGCAAUCACGGCGUCGCCAAUAAUGCGGAUUAAUCUGGAAAAUCUGGAGGAGAUUGUUCGGAAAAUGCUUGAAGUUCAGAAGGAGCAGCAGAUAUUAGAGGAUGAGCACCAGGAAACAAAGCGAGAGAUACUCCAGCAAAUUCCGAGCAGCCAAGGCGAAACCAACUUUCAAACAGAGCUACUGCCAUUUUUAAGUCAUUGCUUAAGCCGGUCGUGUUUCUGGCUCCUGAAUUCUGUGCCCUUUGAUUAAAUAUUAUUAAACAUUAUUGUCAUUUUUUUUGGUGUAACACCGAAUCUCAUUAA